CUUCUCGACAUGUCCACCGAAGAU
rnacentral:siRNA from 1 species